GACGAACGCUGGCGGCGUGCUUAACACAUGCAAGUCGAGCGGAAAGGCCCUUUUGGGGUACUCGAGCGGCGAACGGGUGAGUAACACGUGAGUAAUCUGCCCUUCACUUUGGGAUAGCCACCGGAAACGGUGAUUAAUACCGGAUACGACCACCGUGGGCAUCCACUGGUGGUGGAAACUUUUUGGGUGGGGGAUGUGCUCGCGGCCUAUCAGCUUGUUGGUGGGGUAAUGGCCUACCAAGGCUUUGACGGGUAGCCGGCCUGAGAGGGUGACCGGCCACACUGGGACUGAGACACGGCCCAGACUCCUACGGGAGGCAGCAGUGGGGAAUAUUGGACAAUGGGCGGAAGCCUGAUCCAGCAACGCCGCGUGAGGGAUGACGGCCUUCGGGUUGUAAACCUCUUUCAGCACCGACGAAGCGCAAGUGACGGUAGGUGCAGAAGAAGGACCGGCCAACUACGUGCCAGCCGCCGCCGUAAGAC
rnacentral:rRNA from 1 species